UACUGUUUCAGUUUCUCUUAUCAGAGUGUUUAAAAUGGAGAGAGACAGCAAGUUUGAUUUUUCCCGUUUGACUUCACUGGAAUUGAAGACAAGUUUACCUGGAAGAAUAUAAAUAUAGCAGGGUAAAUAACCAGCCUGUCCCAAAAUGAUACGUGGUAUAUUAGAAAUUGCUUUUCAGGAGACCUGUUUCCUACUGGCUUCUCUUUCUUACGUCAGUUUUUUUUAUACUUCUUACAAUGGAUUAAUUACCAAGAAUAACAAAAAAAUAGCAAAGAAUCUUUUCUUUUUAGGUGUAUUCUGAUUAAUAUCUACAACAUGACAAAUAAAACUUUAAGAAUCUGUUUCUAAGAACUUUCAAUAAUAUGCUGUGUAUGUCAACAUCAGGGUGAUUUAACAAAUAAUUUAGAGAAGGUGUGGAAAUUUCUAUAAAGAUGGCACAGGUGCCAGCUUGGAAAAUUGAUUGCAUUUUUUUUCAUGCUGUCUUCAGUCCAGGCUAGUGCCUAGAAAACCUUUCUGAAAAUGCUGUGAGCUCCUUCUUCACAGUAGGUGCCUUGAAAAUGCCUUUUGGAACCAUUUUUUGCCCCACUGCCAUUACUGACACUUGCUUAUUAGCUCUUACCUGUGCUAAUGCAGCAUUAUCCUCCAACUUCCUAAUUCGCGGGGAACUUCUUCCGGGUCAUCUCCACAUUGCUUCUGGAGGCAGUUGCCAGUACACAUCUCAUCUCGUCGUUCUUGUGGUGUUAAAUAGCACCAUUGAUUCCUCAUAUAAAGGAAUCCACAGGUUCUGUUGUCAGGCAUGCAAGGUGCUCCAUAAUUAUUACCUAAUUGAGUUCCUAAUCUUUCCCUGCUAGUCCCUCCCAUAGAUUUAUGCUCCUACCCUGUAGUAAAGUACCAUAAAUACAAGAACAAUUGUUGCAGCCUUGUUUAUAGUAGCAAAAAAAAAAAAAAGAAAGAAAAGAAA